rnacentral:lncRNA from 1 species
AUAGAUCAAGAAAGAAGAAAUAGUGCAAGUGAUCGGGGAAAAGAGAAAGUUAUCGACUAAAUUACAAAAAUAGUCGUUUUGCAUCCGAGGUAAGUUAUAUGUAAAUAAUAGUUAUAUUUGUAUAAAUUGUGAAUUAUAUUUGAUAUGUGAAUUAAUAUUGAAUGUGGAAGGAAAGUUGUUCAUGAAUUAUUCAAGUGAUAAAGUGUUGAAAAUAAAGUGUUAAGUGUAAAUUCCCGGUUGAACUUAGGAAUAGAAUUGGAUACAAGUGACAUGUCACUAGAGACCAGUGUUACAGUGUUACAGUGUUACGGUGAGUCCCGGGUGCUGGGUGAUCUAGCAUGUGUUGCAGACACUUGACAGCUUGUGUGAGCAGACCCGUGGACAUUUCCAGUGUUAUUGAUCAGUGGUAGCUUCGGCUACAUUUCAGUGGUAGCUUUGGCUACAUCCAGUGGUAGCUUCGGCUACAUAUCAGUGGUAGCUUCGGCUACAUAUCAGUGUGGCACUUAUGUGCUAAAUCUCUACGUAUCCGUGUAUAUUCCAAGUGUUCAACGGGAUUAAUAAUGAAUUAAAGUGAAUAUGAAAUGUUAAGUGUGAAAAUGUAUAUGCAAGUGAAUUGGUAAGAUUGUGUAUGUGUAAGUGAUUGAAAUUGCUAAGAAAUGUUUUGAUUAGUUAUAUGUUAAAAGUGUUAAUUAUUAAUUGAGUAAUUAUUGUUUACAUGUAACUUACUAAGCUAUUUAUAGCUUACACAUCUCUUUCUUUCCUUUGUUUUAUAGUGAUUUGAACUUGAUCGAAUAGUGGACCGUCGGAGCUCGUAUCACACUAUCAUAACCAUCUCGGUAUUAUGUGCUUUUCAAAAUGUUUAAACUAUGGCAUGUAUAGAGUCUUAAUCAUUUUGAGCAUGUCCAAAUGAUAUGGCUAAUGUUAGCUAUUGAAGUAGUUAUUAAAGAAUAUGUUUUGGAGUUAUGUAUGUUUAAAUGGUAACUAAUUCAAAGAAGCAGUUUCUUUGACAGUAGCAGUGACGUGAAUGUGAAAAAUCACCAUAAAUAUUAGAAAUGGAAUUAGAGGGUGUAUGAUAUAUAGAAUUAAAGCUUAUCAAGUCUAUUUUUACAUGAAAGAAACGGUGUAGGCAAAGGAAUUUUAUAUUUUGAGAUAUUUAAAUUUUAGUGAGACAUGGUCAGAAUGGUUUUUGAAGUCCCCUGUUAUAACUUUAGAAAAUCAUUAUAAAUUGUACAGAAAUAAUUAUAGGUCAUAAUUUAUAUGUUUAGAUUCCUUAGUGAGUCUAUUUUCAAAAUAAAUUAUUGGUAACCUUAUAUGAAUUCUGUACAAUUAGAUAUUUGAUUUUUAGCGCCAAGAGGUCAGAUCUGUCGAGCUGUGAAACAGGGGAUACUUUAAUGAAUAAACUGUACUAAUGUGCUAAUUCAAAAAUUCUGAAAAUUUUACAGUAAGUAGGAAUAUGAGUCUAGUUUCACGGAAAAUUUACGGAUUUAAAAUUUGAGUUUCGUAACUCAAGUUAUAAUUAAAUUAGUGACAGUUGCACAGGUGGACAGUUUUGUUAUGAACAGUGAAUUUAAUUUUAAAAGCAAAUUUUUAUGCUCCGAAUCGGUAAGUUAAAUUGGAUGACAUCUCGUACUCGAUUCCGGAGACGGUCUCGGGUAAGGGGUGUUACAUUUAGUGGUAUCAGAGCUACGGUUUAGUCGAUUCUCGGAAUAACGUAGCGAGUGUAAUAGACUAUCUAUACAUGCCAUAAUUGAAUAAUGAUAGUGUGACGACUCCUGACAUCUUAAAAUGUUUUUUUUAUAGUAAUGGAUUCUAACCGAGAUACAGCUGAUGAUGCUCAAAGUAAUGUGCCUGUUGAAAGUCGAUUCGAGACUCAGGGUCAAGGAGAUGAGGCUCGAGAAGCUUUUCUCCAAAUGAUGAACAAUUGGUACACUGAGUUUGUUAAAACUAAUCCUAAUGCUCAACCUCCUCCGCCCCCUCCUAUUCCUCAAGCUGUUCCCAUAGCUCCUCAACAAACUGAAGUGUUAAAAUUGUCAAAGCCUCCAGUGGACAAAAUUCGAAAGUAUGGAGCCGAAGAGUUCCGAGCUAAUGUAAAUGAUGAUCCUGAAAGAGCAGAGUUCUGGCUUGAUAAUACUAUCAGAGUGUUGGAUGAAUUAUCUUGUACUCCAGGAGAAAGUCUCAAAUGUGCUAUCUCAUUACUGAGGGAUUCGGCUUAUAAUUGGUGGAAAACUUUAGUGUCAGUGGUGCCUAAAGAGAAAGUUACAUGAGACUUCUUUCAAGAAGAAUUCCGAAAGAAGUAUGUGAGUCAGCGUUUCAUUGAUCAAAAGAGAAAAGAGUUUCUUGAAUUGAAACAAGGGCGCAUGACGGUAGCCGAAUAUGAGCGAGAAUUUGUCAAAUUAAGCAAGUAUGCCCAAGAGUGUGUAUCUAAUGAAGCUACAUUGUGUAAAAGGUUUGAAGAUGGAUUAAACGAGGAUAUCCGAUUGCUAGUGGGAAUUCUUGAAAUUAAAGAGUUAGUGGUACUAGUUGAAAGAGCUAUCAAGGCUGAAGAAUUGAGCAAAGAGAAAAGAAAGGUGGAAAGUGAAGCAAGAGAUGAAAGAAAAAGAUCAAUGGGCAAGCGAAGAAGUUUAAAGAAAUGAAUACUCGAUCAAAUGUUUCUAGUGUGAAUUUUCAAAGAGAUCGAGGAAGACAAUAUUCAGGUUCUAAAGCUCAGGCAACUUCUAUGGCAAGUACAGGUAGUGUUAAACCUACUAGACCGGAAUGUCAACAUUGUGGAAAACGACAUUUGGGGGAAUGUUAUUUAAUCAGCCGAGCUUGUUUUAAAUGUGGAUCUCAAGAUCAUUUUGUGAAAGAUUGUCCGGAAAGAGAAGAGAUAGAAAAGUUUCAGAAUGUGAGAUCGAGCAGUGUGACUACUAGAGGAAGACCACAGAGAAAUGUGGGGAUUAGAACUAGUGGUAGAGGCGUAACAAAAGACACGACUGUAAGAUCUGAAGUGGGAGCUCCAGCAAGAGCUUAUGCCAUCCGAGCUAGAGAGGAAGCAUCUUCUCCUGAUGUGAUCACUGGUAUAUUUUCUCUUUACGACACUAAUGUUCUUGCAUUGAUUGAUCCUGGUUCUACUCACUCGUAUGUAUGCAUGAAUUUAGUGUCUGAUAAGAAUUUGUGUGUUGAAUUGACUGAGUAUGUGGUUAAAGUGUCGAAUCCUUUAGGCAAGCAUAUGAUAGUUGAUAAAAUAUGCAAAAAUUGUCCUUUGAUUAUACAAGGUCAGUGUUUCCCUGCCAACUUAAUGUUGUUGCCAUUUGAUGAAUUUGAUGUUAUUUUGGGAAUGGAUUGGUUGACAUUACAUAAGGCCAAGAUAGAUUGCAGUCAGAAAAUUCUUGAGUUGAAGUGUGGUAGUGGUACAGUUCUUCGGGUUGAAACAGAUAAGUCAAAUGUGAUGCCAAUUGUGAUUUCUGCCAUGUCUGCUCAGAAAUGUUUGAAAAAUGGUUGUGAAGCAUAUCUUGCUUAUGUGUUGAACACAAAAGUGUCUGAAAUAAAGAUCGAAUCAGUGCCAGUGGUAUGUGAAUAUGUAGAUGUGUUCCCAGAAGAGUUGCCAGGUUUGCCUCCGAUUAGAGAAGUAGAGUUUGGUAUUGAAGUAAUGCCAGGUACUGCUCCAAUAUCGAUUGCUCCCUACAGAAUGGCACCAACUGAAUUAAAAGAAUUAAAAGUGCAAUUACAAGAGCUGACAGAUAAAGGAUUUGUUAGACCAAGUUACUCUCUGUGGGGUGCUCCCGUGCUAUUUGUGAAGAAAAAGGAUGGGACAUUGAGAUUGUGUAUUGAUUAUCGUCAACUUAACAAAGUGACAGUGAAGAAUAAGUAUCCAUUACCCCGAAUAGAUGACUUGUUUGAUCAGUUAAAGGAUGCCACAGUGUUUUCCAAAAUUGAUUUGAGAUCCGGAUAUUAUCAAUUGAGGGUUAAAGAGUCAGAUGUGCCAAAGACUGCUUUCAGAACCCGAUAUGGCCACUAUGAAUUUCUUGUAAUGCCUUUUGGUCUGACUAAUGCUCCAGCUAUUUUUAUGGAUUUGAUGAAUCGAAUUUUCCGGCCCUAUUUGGAUAAAUUUGUUGUGGUGUUUAUAGAUGAUAUUCUUAUUUAUUCCCGAAGUGAAGCCGAGCAUGCUGAACAUUUAAGAAUUGUGCUACAAACGCUGCGAGAAAAGAAAUUGUUUGCUAAAUUUAGCAAAAGUGAAUUUUGGCUUAGUGAAGUUGGAUUUUUGGGGCAUAUUGUCUCGGAAGAUGGCAUUCGAGUGGAUCCGAAUAAGAUAUCGGCAAUAGUUGAGUGGAAGCCUCCAAGAAAUGUAUCUGAAGUUAGGAGUUUUCUGGGCUUAGCCGGAUAUUAUCGUCGAUUUGUAGAAGGUUUUUCGAUGAUAGCUUCACCGAUGACAAAAUUGUUGCAAAAAGAUGUUAAGUUCGAAUGGACCGAGGAGUGUCAACAAAGUUUUGAGAAAUUAAAGAAGUGUUUAACUGAGGCACCUGUGUUAGUGCAACCUGAGUCAGGAAAGGAAUUUGUUGUUUAUAGUGACGCGUCACUAAAUGGGCUUGGAUGUGUAUUGAUGCAAGAAGGAAAGGUGAUAGUGUAUGCUUCUCGACAAUUGAAACCGCAUGAACGAAAUUAUCCUACCCAUGAUUUAGAGUUGGCUGCUAUUGUCUUUGCUUUGAAGAUUUGGCGUCAUUAUUUAUAUGGUGAGAAAUGUCGUGUUUUUACAGAUCAUAAAAGUUUGAAAUAUGUUAUGACACAAAAAGAUCUGAAUUUGCGGCAAAGAAGAUGGUUGGAAUUGUUGAAAGAUUAUGAACUUGUGAUAGAUUAUCAUCCGGGAAAAGCUAAUAUAGUUGCUGAUGCUUUGAGCAGAAAGUCUCUCUUUGCUUUGAGAGCUUUGAAUACGAGAUUAACAUUGACUGAAGAUGGAUCAUUGUUUGCAGAGUUAAAAGCUAGACCAUUGUUUCUUCAAGAAAUUUGUGAGGCUCAGAAAGUGGAUAAUGAAUUGCAAAGAAGAAAGACUCAGUGUGCAGUGGACAAUAAUUCUGAUUUUCAGAUUGAUUCAGAUGGAUGUUUAAUGUUUCGUGAUAGAAUAUGUGUUCCGAAAAAUGUUGAUUUAAUUCAGAAAAUUUUGCAAGAAGCACAUGAUAGUCAUUUGGCAGUUCACCCCGGUAGUGUAAAAAUGUACAAUGAUUUGAAGAAAUUUUAUUGGUGGUUGGGUAUGAAACGGGAUAUCUCCGAGUAUGUGACAAAGUUUUUAGUGUGCCAACAAGUAAAAGCUGAACACCAAGUACCUUCAGGAUUACUUCAACCUAUUAUGGUGCCCGAGUGGAAAUGGGAUAGAAUUACUAUGGAUUUUGUUUCUGGAUUGCCAUUGUCACCGAAAAAGAAAGACUCAAUUUGGGUUAUAGUUGAUCGAUUGACUAAGUCGGCUCAUUUCAUUCCUGUGCGAAUGAGUUUUUCACUUGACAAGUUAGCUGAAUUGUAUAUUGCUGAGAUAGUCCGAUUACAUGGUGUACCUAUGUCUAUUAUAUCUGAUAGAGAUCCACGAUUUACUUCAAGGUUUUGGAAGAAAUUACAAGAGGCAUUGGGUACUAAAUUGAAUUUUAGUACAGCAUUCCAUCCCCAAACCGAUGGACAGUCUGAAAGAGUAAUUCAAAUACUCGAAGACAUGUUGAGAUGUUGUGUAUUGGAAUUUGAAGGUAAUUGGGAAAGAUAUUUACCUUUGGUGGAAUUUGCUUAUAAUAAUAGUUAUCAGUCAAGCAUAAAAAUGACACCUUAUGAAGCGUUGUAUGGACGAAAGUGUCGGACUCCAUUAUAUUGGACUGAACUUAAUGAAAAUCAGUUACAUGGAGUCGAUUUGGUAAAAGAAACCGAAGAAAAAGUGAAGAUAAUCCGUGAUUGUUUGAAAGCUGCAUCGGAUCGACAGAAGUCGUAUGCGGACUUGAAAAGAAAAGAGAUUGAGUUUCAAGUGGGAGAUAAAGUAUUUUUGAAAGUGUCUCCAUGGAAGAAAAUUUUGAGAUUUGGCCGUAAAGGCAAAUUAAGUCCAAGAUUUAUUGGUCCGUAUGAAGUGAUAGAAAGAAUUGGUCCAGUGGCUUAUCGAUUGUCUUUACCACCGGAAUUGGAAAGAAUUCAUAAUGUGUUUCAUGUUUCUAUGUUGAGGCGAUAUCGAUCAGACCCAUCACAUGUGAUUUCACCGACUGAAGUGGAAAUUCGAUCGGAUAUGACAUACGAAGAAGAACCGAUUCGAAUCUUGGCACGAGAAGUGAAACAGUUGAGAAACAAAGAAAUUGCUUUAGUGAAAGUGUUAUGGCAACGACAUGGGGUGGAAGAGGCAACAUGGGAAACCGAGGAGGCUAUGAGGAAACAGUAUCCCAACUUAUUCACUGGUAAGAUUUUCGGGGACGAAAAUCCCUAAGGGGGGAGAAUUGUGAUAGCCCGAAAUAGGGCCUAAUCGGAAUAGUGGUUUCGUAACCACAAAUCCGAAGUGAAAUAGUUUAAUUUUAUAAAUUUUUAUUAGUUACUAAUUGAUUGAAAUAUUGUGUGAAAAUAUGGAUAGGAAAUUUUAAUGCUUUAGUGCUUAAUUGAAUUUUUAGGACUAAAUUGAGAAAAAUGCAAAGUGUGUCUAAUUAGUGAUUAAAUGACUUAAUUGAAUUAUUGCAUGAAAUUGGAAGUGUUUAUGUGGCAAUUAGACCAUAAAUUAGUGUUAUGGACACAAAAGGGUAUUUCUAGAAAAAUAUCUAAGUAAUGGGUCAAGGGCAUUUUUGUCCAAAUUGGGUAAAAGACAAAAUAAAGAGAAAAUAAGUGUCCAUCUUCUUCAAAAAAAUCAGAAGCUUGUUGCCGAAAGUUUCAGGUUACCAUAGUUAAGGGUUUUGAUUUUCCUAAGCUCAAUUGUAAGUGAUUUCUUGCCCCGUUUUUAAUUAUUUUCGUAUUUUUAUGCUUAUUGAAGCUUGAAUUUCAUGUUUCUACCAUUUAAUUUAAAUGAAAUUAAAGUUUAAAAAUUGACCCAUUCAUGAUAUAAUUGUAAAUUGAUUAGUGAUGUUAGAUAAUGAAUGUUUGAAGUGUUAAUUACAAGUUUUACUAGAUGAAUUUCAAUGAAAAAUGUUGAAAAAGGGCUAAAUUGUGAAAGAUGGUAAAGUGUGCAUAAAGUUGUGAUUUUGUGAAAUUGAGGCCCGUUAUGAGCAUGAAAUAUGAUUUAGUGAAGUUUGAAAUUUAAGAAUUUAGAGAAUUUUAUUUUUACGAGCUUAGGGACAAAAGUGGAAUUUUUGAAAAGUUAUGGGGAAAAAUGUAAAUGUGUCAAAAUGUUGUGUAUGAAUUGUAUUUGAAUGGAAUAUUGAUAAAAUGUAUUAAAUUGUGUUAAUAUAGAUCAAGAAAGAAGAAAUAGUGCAAGUGAUCGGGGAAAAGAGAAAGUUAUCGACUAAAUUACAAAAAUAGUCGUUUUGCAUCCGAGGUAAGUUAUAUGUAAAUAAUAGUUAUAUUUGUAUAAAUUGUGAAUUAUAUUUGAUAUGUGAAUUAAUAUUGAAUGUGGAAGGAAAGUUGUUCAUGAAUUAUUCAAGUGAUAAAGUGUUGAAAAUAAAGUGUUAAGUGUAAAUUCCCGGUUGAACUUAGGAAUAGAAUUGGAUACAAGUGACAUGUCACUAGAGACCAGUGUUACAGUGUUACAGUGUUACGGUGAGUCCCGGGUGCUGGGUGAUCUAGCAUGUGUUGCAGACACUUGACAGCUUGUGUGAGCAGACCCGUGGACAUUUCCAGUGUUAUUGAUCAGUGGUAGCUUCGGCUACAUUUCAGUGGUAGCUUUGGCUACAUCCAGUGGUAGCUUCGGCUACAUAUCAGUGGUAGCUUUGGCUACAUAUCAGUGUGACACUUAUGUGCUAAAUCUCUACGUAUCCGUGUAUAUUUCAAGUGUUCAACAGGAUUAAUAAUGAAUUAAAGUGAAUAUGAAAUGUUAAGUGUGAAAAUGUAUAUGCAAGUGAAUUGGUAAGAUUGUGUAUGUGUAAGUGAUUGAAAUUGCUAAGAAAUGUUUUGAUUAGUUAUAUGUUAAAAGUGUUAAUUAUUAAUUGAGUAAUUAUUGUUUACAUGUAACUUACUAAGCUAUUUAUAGCUUACACAUCUCUUUCUUUCCUUUGUUUUAUAGUGAUUUGAACUUGAUCGAAUAGUGGACCGUCGGAGCUCGUAUCACACUAUCAUAACCAUCUCGGUAUUAUGUGCUUUUCAAAAUGUUUAAACUAUGGCAUGUAUAGAGUCUUAAUCAUUUUGAGCAUGUCCAAAUGAUAUGGCUAAUGUUAGCUAUUGAAGUAGUUAUUAAAGAAUAUGUUUUGGAGUUAUGUAUGUUUAAAUGGUAACUAAUUCAAAGAAGCAGUUUCUUUGAUAGCAGCAGUGACGUGAAUGUGAAAAAUCACCAUAAAUAGUAGAAAUGGAAUUAGAGGGUGUAUGAUAUAUAGAAUUAAAGCUUAUCAAGUCUAUUUUUACAUGAAAGAAACGGUGUAGGCAAAGGAAUUUUAUAUUUUGAGAUAUUUAAAUUUUAGUGAGACAGGGUCAGAAUGGUUUUUGAAGUCCCCUGUUCUAACUUUAGAAAAUCAUUAUAAAUUGUACAGAAAUAAUUAUAGGUCAUAAUUUAUAUGUUUAGAUUCCUUAGUGAGUCUAUUUUCAAAAUAAAUUAAUGGUAACCUUAUAUGAAUUCUGU